rnacentral:rRNA from 1 species
AGCGAACGCUGGCGGCAGGCCUAACACAUGCAAGUCGAACGAACCCUUCGGGGUUAGUGGCGGACGGGUGAGUAACACGUGGGAACGUGCCUUUAGGUUCGGAAUAACUCAGGGAAACUUGUGCUAAUACCGAAUGUGCCCUUCGGGGGAAAGAUUUAUCGCCUUUAGAGCGGCCCGCGUCUGAUUAGCUAGUUCGUGAGGUAAUGGCUCACCAAGGCUACGAUCAGUAGCUGGUCUGAGAGGAUGACCAGCCACAUUGGGACUGAGACACGGACCAAACUCCUACGGGAGGCAGCAGUGGGGAAUCUUGCGAAAUGGGCGAAAGCCUGACGCAGCCAUGCCGCGUGGAUGAUGAAGGUCUUAGGAUUGUAAAAUCCUUUCACCGGUGAAGAUAAUGACUGUAGCCGGAGAAGAAGCCCCGGCUAACUUCGUGCCAGCCGCCGCCGUAAGAC